UGCUAUUAUUACAGGAAUGUGCCACCACGCUCCGUUUAGGCAGCCCUGGGAAUCAAGUCCCUGAAGGAUGAUCAGGAACCAUUGUGGUGCAGAUGGCCAGGACCAAUCAAUUGCAAUUCUUCAGCUGCAGAGGAGGCUGGAGAGACUGAAUUGGCAGCCACAAGGUAUGGAGUUCACCUGCAUGAGAGAGAGUGUGAGCCACCACAUCUGGCUGGUUUACUUCUUCCUGAGGUAGAGCUUAUGUUUGCUAAGUUGCACCCCUUUUAAGGUGGGCAGUUAAAUGAAUCUGGACAAAGUCCCUCAUAUCCAUCAUACCACGCAAGUAUAGACUAUUCCCAUAGACUGUCAAAUGUUCCUGCACGUUUUCAUGUAUGCAGAUUCUUAGGUUCCUUACUAGACCCAAAGCUCCUGAAUCCAGGGUUUGGAGCCUAUGGAUCUUCCCGGGAGUCAACAUACACCAACGCUGGCAGUUACAUCCUCGGGCUCCUCAGACUCUGCAGCUCUUUUCCUCAGCCCAGAUGGGCACACUGAUGAGUGGCGGAGUUCGUUACUUCCCCAGGACCCGCCCCCACUCCUUCUCCAUGACCUCAUCACACUACAUCCGGGGUCCUACUCUCUGCCUGCCUGGGCUAGAGAUCUUGCUUGAAGUAUAACAUCACUCUGAUAUUCGCAGACUUAGAGUUCUUCAGGGGGGUCCCAUGCCCUGCAGGAUCUAGGCUGAGAGAAGUUCAGAGCCUCCUGUCUCCCACAGGAAGCACUUCAACAGUACUUACAGCACGGGAGGUCUGUGAACGUCCCAGGUGGCCUCACGCCUGUAGGCAUCUUAGACACGGUACCCUCCACUGGACUGACCCAUCCCCUCCGGCACCCUCCUGUUCUCAGGCAGAGAAACCAAGGAAAGGGCUUGCUUGAUGCCUUGUAGACGCAGUAGUCAGGAUCACGGAGAGCAAGUGAUCACCGCCGUGACGACUGGGUCUUGAUCCUGCAGAAACACAGCGCAGAGCAGUAUAGAGAGGAC